rnacentral:rRNA from 2 species
CAAGUCGAGCGGAUCGAUGGGAGCUUGCUCCCUGAGAUCAGCGGCGGACGGGUGAGUAACACGUGGGUAACCUGGCUGGAAGAAUGGGAUAACUCCGGGAAACCGGGGCUAAUACCGGAUAACACCUACCCCCGCAUGGGGGAAGGUUGAAAGGAGGCUUCGGCUAUCACUUACAGAUGGACCCGCGGCGCAUUAUCUAUUUGGUGAGGUAAUGGCUCACCAAGGCGACGAUGCGUAUCCGACCUGAGAGGGUGAUCGGCCACACUGGGACUGAGACACGGCCCACACUCCUACGGGAGGCAGCAGUAGGGAAUCUUCCCCAAUGGACAAAAGUCUGACAGAGCAACGCCCCGUGAGUGAAAAAAGUUUUCGGAUCGUAAAACUCUGUUGUUAGGGAAAAAAAAGUGCCGUUCAAAUAGGGCGGCGCCUUGACGGUACCUAACCAAAAAGCCCCGGCUAACUACCUGCCAGCAGCCCCGGUAAUACCUAGGUGGCAAGCGUUGUCCGGGAUUAUUUGGCGUAAAGCGCGCGCAGGUCGGUUCUUAAGUCUGAUGUGAAAGCCCACGGCUCAACCGUGGAGGGUCAUUGGAAACUGGGGAACUUGAGUGCAGAAGAAGAAAGUGGAAUUCCCAGUGUAGCGGUGAAAUGCGUAGAUAUUUGGAGGAACACCAGUGGCGAAGGCGACUUUCUGGUCUGUAACUGACACUGAAGCGCGAAAGCGUGGGGAGCAAACAGGAUUAGAUACCCUGGGUAGUCCACGCCGUAAACGAUGAGUGCUAAGUGUUAGAGGGUUUCCGCCCUUUAGUGCUGCAGCUAACGCAUUAAGCACUCCGCCUGGGGAGUACGGUCGCAAGACUGAAACUCAAAGGAAUUGACAGGGGCCCGCACAAGCGGUGGAGCAUGUGGUUUAUUUCGAAGCAACGCGAAGAACCUUUACCAAGGUCUUGACAUUCUUCUUGACAACCCUAGAGAUAGGGCUUUCCCCUUUCAGGGGACAGAAUGACAGUUGGUGCAUGGUUGUCGUA